AGAGUUUGAUCCUGGCUCAGGAUGAACGCUAGCGGGAGGCCUAACACAUGCAAGCCGAGCGGUAUUGUUUCUUCGGAAAUGAGAGAGCGGCGUACGGGUGCGGAACACGUGUGCAACCUGCCUUUAUCUGGGGGAUAGCCUUUCGAAAGGAAGAUUAAUACUCCAUAAUAUAUUGAACGGCAUCGUUUAAUAUUGAAGGCUCCGGCGGAUAGAGAUGGGCACGCGCAAGAUUAGCUAGUUGGUGAGGUAACGGCUCACCAAGGCAAUGAUCUUUAGGGGGCCUGAGAGGGUGAUCCCCCACACUGGUACUGAGACACGGACCAGACUCCUACGGGAGGCAGCAGUGAGGAAUAUUGGUCAAUGGGUGCAAGCCUGAACCAGCCAUCCCGCGUGAAGGACGACUGCCCUAUGGGUUGUAAACUUCUUUUGUAUAGGGAUAAACCUUCCCACGUGUGGGAAGCUGAAGGUACUAUACGAAUAAGCACCGGCUAACUCCGUGCCAGCAGCCGCGGUAAUACGGAGGGUGCAAGCGUUAUCCGGAUUUAUUGGGUUUAAAGGGUCCGUAGGCGGACUUAUAAGUCAGUGGUGAAAGCCUGUCGCUUAACGAUAGAACUGCCAUUGAUACUGUAAGUCUUGAGUAUAAUUGAGGUAGCUGGAAUAAGUAGUGUAGCGGUGAAAUGCAUAGAUAUUACUUAGAACACCAAUUGCGAAGGCAGGUUACCAAGUUAUAACUGACGCUGAGGGACGAAAGCGUGGGGAGCGAACAGGAUUAGAUACCCUGGUAGUCCACGCCGUAAACGAUGCUAACUCGUUUUUGGGGCGCAAGCUUCAGAGACCAAGCGAAAGUGAUAAGUUAGCCACCUGGGGGAGUACGCUCGCAAGAGUGAAACUCAAAGGAAUUGACGG
rnacentral:rRNA from 1 species